AAUUCUCAAACCACUACCUUUGUGUUGUGGCUUGGAUAGUUGGGUGUUGCCUAAUUUAAAAAUUGGGCUCUCCUUAAAUAUAUAAGUGGUACAUUUAAGAAACUUGUUAGGUGUUGUAAAUUUAUCAAUACAUCUAUGUUUCUGAAAUAUACUGCUCCUAAUAAAACCUCUUUGAUGA
rnacentral:misc_RNA from 1 species